GAUGAACGCUAGCGGGAGGCUUAACACAUGCAAGUCGAGCGGGAAGGGUAGCAAUACCCUGAGAGCGGCGCACGGGUGCGUAACGCGUAUGUAACCUGCCUUAUACAGGGGGAUAGCCCAUGGAAACGUGGAUUAACACCCCAUAGGACUGGAAUUUCGCAUGGGAAUUCAGUUAAAAUUACGGUGGUAUAAGAUGGGCAUGCGUCUGAUUAGGUAGUUGGUAGGGUAACGGCCUACCAAGCCGACGAUCAGUAGGGGUUCUGAGAGGAUUACCCCCCACACUGGUACUGAGACACGGACCAGACUCCUACGGGAGGCAGCAGUGAGGAAUAUUGGUCAAUGGGCGAGAGCCUGAACCAGCCAUCCCGCGUGCAGGAUGACGGCCCUAUGGGUUGUAAACUGCUUUUCUGCUCCAAGAAACCUGAUUACGAGUAAUCAGUUGACGGUAGAGUAGGAAUAAGCAUCGGCUAACUCCGUG
rnacentral:rRNA from 1 species